CGCACAUUGCGCCCUCUGGUAUUCCGGGGGGCACGCCUGUUCGAGCGUCAUUUGUACCAAUCGAGCCUGCUCGGCAUUGGGCGCCGCCCCUCCAAGGGCGCACCCGAAAGGUAGCGGCGCGGUCGCCGGGCGAGGAACGCACUGGAAAAACACCGUCUCCUGUCGUCCCGCGGCCGUCGCCGGAAUCGGGUCCCUCGUGGCCCACCCCCAAUGAAUUGACCUCGGAUCAGGCGAGAAUACCCGCUGAACUUAA
rnacentral:misc_RNA from 1 species